ACCCUCCUAAAGGAAGCAUUGGAGGCAGUCUAAGUUGGUUCCUCACGGUGUAAUGGCUCGGACGCCAUAUUAAUAUUUGUGGCCAUCCUGAUCAAUGGCUUCUCAAUACCAUUGCAUCCUGGAAACACCUCAUACAUUU
rnacentral:snoRNA from 1 species